rnacentral:miRNA from 1 species
UCUAUUUUGAAUAUCCCACAAAUAUGUAUUCAUCGAUAUAUAUAUAUAUAUAUAUAUAUAUAUAUAUAUAUAUAUAUAUAUAUAUAUCGAUGAAUACAUAUUUGUGGGAUAUUCAAAAUAGA